GAGUUUGAUCGUGGCUCAGGAUGAACGCUAGCUACAGGCUUAACACAUGCAAGUCGAGCGAAGCGCUUUGGUUAGAUUCUUCGGAUGAAGACCUUUGUGACUGAGCGGCGGACGGGUGAGUAACGCGUGGGUAACCUGCCUCAUACAGGGGGAUAACAGUUAGAAAUGACUGCUAAUACCGCAUAAGACCACAGUACCGCAUGGUACAGGGGUAAAAACUCCGGUGGUAUGAGAUGGGACCCC
rnacentral:rRNA from 1 species